rnacentral:ribozyme from 13 species
UUUUUUUUUUUUUUUUUUUUUUUUUUUUCCGUUUUAAAUUUAUAUAAUUU